GAUGAACGCUGGCGGCGUGCUUAAUACAUGCAAGUCGAGCGAACAGACGAGGAGCUUGCUCCUCUGACGUUAGCGGCGGACGGGUGAGUAACACGUGGAUAACCUCCCUAUAAGACUGGGAUAACUUCGGGAAACCGGAGCUAAUACCGGAUAAUAUAUUGAACCGCAUGGUUCAAUAGUGAAAGACGGUUUUGCUGUCACUUAUAGAUGGAUCCGCGCCGCAUUAGCUAGUUGGUAAGGUAACGGCUUACCAAGGCAACGAUGCGUAGCCGACCUGAGAGGGUGAUCGGCCACACUGGAACUGAGACACGGUCCAGACUCCUGCGGGAGGCAGCAGUAGGGAAUCUUCCGCAAUGGGCGAGAGCCUGACGGAGCAACGCCGCGUGAGUGAUGAAGGUCUUCGGAUCGUAAAACUCUGUUAUUAGGGAAGAACAAAUGUGUAAGUAACUAUGCACGUCUUGACGGUACCUAAUCAGAAAGCCACGGCUAACUACGUG
rnacentral:rRNA from 1 species